GAUGAACGCUAGCGGCAGGCCUAACACAUGCAAGUCGAGGGAGAAGCCCUUUCGGGGGCCGAAACCGGCGCACGGGUGCGUAACGCGUAUGCAACCUACCUUUCACAGGGGGAUAGCCCGAAGAAAUUUGGAUUAAUACCCCAUAAUAUUAUUGGAUGGCAUCAUUUGAUAAUUAAAACUGCGGUGGUGAAAGAUGGGCAUGCGUCCUAUUAGCUAGUUGGAGUGGUAACGGCACCCCAAGGCUACGAUAGGUAGGGGUCCUGAGAGGGAGAUCCCCCACACUGGUACUGAGACAGGGACCAGACUCCUACGGGAGGCAGCAGUGAGGAAUAUUGGUCAAUGGUCGGAAGACUGAACCAGCCAUGCCGCGUGCAGGAAGAAUGCCUUAUGGGUUGUAAACUGCUUUUAUAUGGGAAGAAUAAGGUGUACGUGUACAUUGAUGACGGUACCAUAUGAAUAAGCAUCGGCUAACUCCGUG
rnacentral:rRNA from 1 species